rnacentral:rRNA from 1 species
GACGAACGCUGGCGGCGUGCUUAACACAUGCAAGUCGAACGAAGUGGCGAACGGGUGAGUAACGCGUAAUCCACCUGCACUUCAGAGGGGGACAACAGUUGGAAACGACUGCUAAUACCGCAUACUGAAGGAGGGGAUUGCGUCGGAUUAGCUAGUUGGAGGGGUAACGGCCCACCAAGGCGAUGAUCAGUAGCCGGGCUGAGGGGAUGGACGGCACAAUGGGGAAUGAGACACGGCCCAGACUCCUACGGGAGGCAGCAGUGGGGGAUCUUCCGCAAUGGACGAAAGGCUGACGGAGCAACGCCGCGUGGGUGAUGACGGCCUUCGGGUUGGAAAGCUCUGUUAAUCGGGACGCGGUACCGGAAUAGAAAGCCACGGCUAACUACGUGCCAGCAGCCGCGGUAAUUC